UGGCAGCGCAGGUCCAGCAGCGUGGGCCCCAGGAAGGCGAUGCACAGGCCGAAGCUGAAGAAGACACUCCAGUAGGGCUCACGUGAACAUUCAUUCUGCCAGGAGUCUCUGACCACCAGAACUGCCCCAGGUUCUGACCUUGUAUUCCAUCCACACCUUGAAAGAAGGAGGAAGGGCCCAACAUUGCCAAAGAGAUUUCUCUGAGAUACUAAUUGAUACGAAUUAUUUUAAGCUUCGCAAACCGAUGCAGGAUUGGUACCUGUAGUUCCAGCUCAUCAGGACGCUAAGGCAGAAGGAUCACUUAAGCCCUGAAUUUCAAGUCCAACCUGGCAACAUAAGUAAGAACUCAUUUCAAAUGAAAUAAAAAUGUAAUAGAAAACAAUGUUUUUUCUGCAGCCAAUUAAACCCAUGAAGCUCCUGUCCUCAUAAAGACCAGUGUACAAAGAGAGCUUGCCUGACUGGUCACCGUAUGGUUUCCCUAGGUGACCUCCAGGCAGCGCAGUGCCGCUGACACCCACACCUGGGAUUCCUGCUGCUCGAGCUACUGUGCUGUGUGAAGUCGCAGGGCAAGGAGGCCAGGGCCAAGGACGCCAAGGUUCACCCUGGCCAGCGCAUCAGGUCCGUCCUGCGGAGCAAGGGAGCAGCACCAACAGCCGUGGAACAAGACGCGCGUGAUUAAGGCUCUGUACACAGCCCAGUUCAAGAUCCCUGGCAGCUCAGAGGUCCACAGCUUUAAAAAAAAAUGGGACUUCCCAAGUUUUGUUUUGUUUUG